CCUACGGGAGGCAGCAGUGGGGAAUCUUGCGCAAUGGGCGAAAGCCUGACGCAGCCAUGCCGCGUGAAUGAUGAAGGUCUUAGGAUUGUAAAAUUCUUUCACCGGGGACGAUAAUGACGGUACCCGGAGAAGAAGCCCCGGCUAACUUCGUGCCAGCAGCCGCGGUAAUACGAAGGGGGCUAGCGUUGCUCGGAAUUACUGGGCGUAAAGGGAGCGUAGGCGGAUAGUUUAGUCAGAGGUGAAAGCCCAGGGCUCAACCUUGGAAUUGCCUUUGAUACUGGCUAUCUUGAGUACGGAAGAGGUAUGUGGAACUCCGAGUGUAGAGGUGAAAUUCGUAGAUAUUCGGAAGAACACCAGUGGCGAAGGCGACAUACUGGUCCGUUACUGACGCUGAGGCUCGAAAGCGUGGGGAGCAAACAGGAUUAGAUACCCUGGUAGUCCACGCUGUAAACGAUGAGUGCUAGUUGUCGGCAGCAUGCUGUCGGUGACGCNGCUACGACAUUAAGCACUCCGCCGUCGGGAGGUACGGUCGCGAGAAUUAAAACUUAAAAGGUAAAGUUAGACGGCGUGAGACGUGCCGAACGGACGACGACGAGGGAGGUAGG
rnacentral:rRNA from 1 species